GAUGGGGUGCCUUAACAUGACGGGCUGAGAACAUACCCUUAAUACCUGAACCGGGUAAUGCCGGCGUAGAGAAUUAAAUUUU
rnacentral:ncRNA from 1 species